rfam:Desulfotomaculum australicum DSM 11792 genome assembly, contig: EJ60DRAFT_scaffold00029.29
UGGAUGGAGAGUUUGAUCCUGGCUCAGGACGAACGCUGGCGGCGUGCCUAACACAUGCAAGUCGAGCGGGUAACGGAGGUCGGUCAUCGGAGGUCAGAAGUCAGAUAAGAAGCAAGUGGCCUGAGGCCAGUUGCGACGAAAGAUCUGGCAUCCGAUUUCCGACGGCCGACUUCCGUUGCCAGCGGCGGACGGGUGAGUAACGCGUGGAUAACCUGCCCAUUAGACCGGGAUAACGCUGGGAAA